GCUGCUGGUAUUAAAAGAACAGAAAGGACACGUUGUGAGGCAGCAGGUUAAGCCACCACUUGGAAGGUCCACAUCCGAUCAGAGCACCAGCUCAAGACCCAGCGAUUCCACUUCCUAUCCAGCUCCCCACCA
rnacentral:lncRNA from 1 species